rnacentral:rRNA from 1 species
GAUGAACGCUGGCGGCGUGCCUAACACAUGCAAGUCGAACGAACAGACGAGGAGCUUGCUCCUCUCACGUUUGCGGAGGACGGGUGAGAAACACGAGUAUAACCCACCUAUCUGACUGGGAUAACUACGGGAAACGGGAGCUAAUACCGGAUAAUAUAUUGAACCGUAGGGUUGAAUAGAAAAAGACGGUGUUGCUGUCACGUAUAGAUGGAUCCGAGCUGCAUUAGCGGGUUGGUACGGUAACGGCUUAUCAAGGGAACGAUGCGUAGGCGAGCUGAGGGGGUGAUCGGCCACACGGGAACUGGGACACGGUCAAGACUCCUACGGGAGGCAGCAGUAGGGAAUCUUCCGCAAUGGGCGAAAGCCUGACGGAGCAACGCCGCGUGAGUGAUGAAGGUCUUCGGAUCGUAAAACUCUGUUAUUAGGGAAGAACAAAUGUGUAAGUAACUAUGCACGUCUUGACGGUACCUAAUCAGAAAGCCACGGCUAACUACGUG